rnacentral:rRNA from 1 species
GAUGAACGCUAGCGGCAGGCUUAAUACAUGCAAGUCGAGGGGCAACAGGGGUAGCAAUACCUGCUGGCGACCGGCAAACGGGUGCGGAACACGUACAGAACCUUCCUUUAAGCGGGGGAUAGCCCGGAGAAAUCCGGAUUAAUACCCCAUAGUAUUACUGACUGGCAUCAGUUGGUAAUUAAAGAUUUAUCACUUAAAGAUGGCUGUGCGGCUGAUUAGGUAGUUGGUGUGGGUAACGGCCCACCAAGCCAGCGAUCAGUAACUGGUGUGAGAGCACGACCAGUCACACGGGCACUGAGACACGGGCCCGACUCCUACGGGAGGCAGCAGUAAGGAAUAUUGGUCAAUGGACGCAAGUCUGAACCAGCCAUGCCGCGUGAAGGAUGAAGGUCCUCUGGAUUUGUAAACUUCUUUUAUGUGGGAAGAAAUGCCCGCUUUAUAGUGGGUUUGACGGUACCAUAGGAAUAAGCACCGGCUAACUCCGUGCCAGCAGCCGCCGCAGUAA